GUACGAGGCCACACAGCCAGGAAGUGGCAGAGCCGGGUCUGGAACAACACUGGACAGUGGGCUGCCCAAUCCAGAGCUGGGGACACUGAGCUGGUCCUCACUGGGAGGCUACCUAUUCCCAUGACAGCACCCACCAUAGCUGAGAGGUUCACGGGCCUGAGGUCACCCCAAGGACGGAGCCUGGGAGGAUUCCCCUCGCCAGCCAGGUGAGCAGCAGGUAGCCCUGUAGAAGCAGGCGCCUAUCCCCCAAGCAGCCAGCAGAGGGCAGCAGCCACUUGCAAGGGACAAGCCUUGGGCUGGCCACUCUCAAAGGAGCCUCCUGUACCUGGGGUCCCUGGAGUGUGUCCUGACCCUCCUGACCCUGCAGGGGUGCUUGAACCAGGCAAUGGGGCAUGGCCACGUCCCCGAGCAAGAGUGGGCAUCACAGCUCACUCCCAGCUCGAGGGGCCAGAGGAGAUGAUUCACCCAGAAGCUGUAGACAGUGCCCCAACUGUCCACGUCCUGGUCCCCAGAACCCGUGGGCAUCUGAGUUACACAGCCACAGGGACCUCACAGAAGUGGCUACCCAAGAUGACCUGGGUGGUCCCAGUGAGCCCCUGGUGUGUCCCCGCUCCCCGAUGCCCCUUGGCAGGGGGGAACUGAGGCUGGACGGGGCGUGCUGACCAGCAGGCAGCGGAGCUGGGGUCACAUCCCAGCAGUCCAGCUCCAGAGCCCAGGUCUCCUGUCACAAAUUGCCACACCCUGGUGGCUUCCAACAGUCCACGCCUGUGCUCCCGGCCUGGAGGUGAAGUUCAACCCUCGCGGGUCCCUGCUGGCCCCGACUUCCCACUGUCUGGAGGUCUCUGUGGCCCCUUCUCCUCCGUCCCUCGCAUCUCCGUCUCUCCAGGGUCCCCCUCCCUCCCUCAGCUGGGCCACCCCUUCCCCUUCCCUGCGUCACGGUCUCUGCAGCUCUGCCCCGGGUGUGCGGCUCUUGCUCUCCCGCCCUGUCUCCUCGUGUCCCACUGUGCCUUUCUGCCUCUGUCUCUGUCUCUCUAUGUCUGUCGUCUCCUUCUGUUCUCUGCCUCCCUCAGUCUCACUCUCUCUCUCUCUCUCUCUCCAUCUCUAUCUCUGUGUCUCCUUCUGUGUCUCCCUGUGCCUCUGUCUCUGUGUCUCUGACUCCUUCUAUUUUUUUCCUCUCUCCCUCUCUCCCCCUUCUCCUCCUCCCUCUCCCCCCUCCCUCUCCCCCUCCCCUUCCCCCUUCUCCCUCUCCCCCCUCCCCCCUUAUUAUCUCUCUGUGUCUCCCUGUGGCCCCGAGUCCCCCAUCAUGGCACCUCCCCAGGGAUUUCCAUCCACCCCCCCACUGGCCUCCUCGCAGGGUCUCCCUGGGUCUCUCCGUGCACGUGGCCGGCCCCCCAGCCCCAUCCUGUGUCGUCCUGGGGAGGGACAGACCCCAGGGCCCCACCCAGGGCCUACGUGGUGGGUGUUGAGGUGUCCUGGGCCUCCUCGGAUGUGGGCCAGUUCUUGGUGGAGGACGAGGGGCCCAUGGUGUCCCCAGAGCCCUGGCUGGAGUCGCCCAACUUGGGGCACAGCUCUGGAGCCCCUCCACCCAGCCGCCCUGCCGGCCCCUCAGUUCCCGCUGGGCCCCCCAUCUUGACUCCGUGCCCCCCCUGGAAGCCUCUGUCCCCUCCAGGGGGGAUGUGGUGGGAAGGGAAGUCCUGCAACCGAGGGCUGUAAAGUUGUGCCCUGGAAUUUGCCGGAAGCCCCCAUAAAAUCCUUCCCAUCCACAGAUUGGGUUUCACGAGCCACUCGCUGGGCGACUGCAGAGAGCAACGCUGGGAUCAAAGCGGCAGCCCCCGCGCCCUCCAUCCUGGCGGGUGGUCAGGAGCGGGCGACCAGGCUGAGCGCGGGGCUGUCCCCGGGGGAGGAGGAGCCUCUGUGCAGCAGCCUCGAGCCUCGGCCCUGAGACACCAGCCUGGGCCAGCACCUGCCCCGCGGGGACCCCCCGCCUCGCCAGACCCCACGGCCACCCCGGCUCCGGCGACAAGCCCUGAGCAGCCACGUGCUGCCGGCUUCUCCCGCUGCCCCGACUGGUGCAGGGGGACCUCAGCUUCCUCAGAUGUGCCAUGGGAGGCAACGUCUUGUAAGACGAUCAGUGUCGUCCAGAUACAGAGCCUCUGGUCACCCUCCAGCCUUCAGAGCUCCUCCGCCCUGGCCUCGGCUCACUGUCCCCACCUGUCUGCGUGACAGCUUCCAUCUUCCAGUCCUUGCUGGCAUGCUGCCUCCUCCCAGAAGCCCUCCCUGCCUGCUCUGCAAAGCAGCACUGCCCUGUUCUAUCCCCCUGUUCAAGCCCGUCGCGGCCCCGGGCACUGUCCCUGCAUGGAUGGAGGGGGUCUUAGACCUGCUAGGCAGAUCCACGGACCUGGGUGUGGCUGGCUUCUCAGCCUUUCUUAUUACACCCACAGAGGCUUUGCAGACCCUCCUCCUGCUCAGCCCCGGAGGUCUGGAAGCAGCUGGGGGCUGCAUGUGCUGACCAGGGCCUGAGACCUGCGUCCCCCUCAGCAUCAGACUGCUUCACACACAGCACCAGGAGACUCCGUCGGCCUCCCAGCCCUGCCCCUGUUGUCCCCUGUGUGCCCGGCCCGUGACACUUAAGUGCCCAGGUCAGAGCUUGUCCAACAAAGAGUCUGGGCUGACCCUGAGUUGGCCUGGGGCAGGGCUCUGAACAGGACCCAUGACCGGCACCAACUGUCCCCUCUGGGAAGCCUGCUGUAGGUGCCCUCAGCCUCCCCUCACCCCCGGGCUGCGGUGCCUCCCGUGGGGCCUGGAGGGUGGGUGCUCUCCGGUCCCCUCCCGCCGUCCCCUCCUCCCACACCAGCUGCUUCCCGGAGGCCACUGCGGCUGCCUUGAGCCCAGGCACAGACGCGGGUCUGAAUGGUGCAGCCUGCACCUCCCGCCUACAGGUGAGUGAGCCUGGGCCGGGCGCUGCACACAUGAAGUCCCUGGCUGGUGUGUCCCCCCUCAAGACCAACUUUACAAAGAGACAAAGCUCAGCCCCUCUCCCUCCUGAACUCAGAGCUGGUGGCUUCCAGGCCAAGUCCCGAGACAAGGCCAGACACCUCCUUCCCGUCACAUGGAGCUAGUGGGCAUCAGGACUCCCGGUGAAAUUUAAAUUUCAGAUAAGUGACACAGUUUUAG
rnacentral:lncRNA from 1 species